AAGAACGCACCUCAGGAAUGAAUUAAGUACUUAACCCGAGGUACCACUGCAUUCUAUUUUAAUAUUUUGUUGGAAGCCGCCCAGAGUGGCUGGGGAAACCCAGCCAGAUGGGUGGGGCAUAAAUAAUAAAUUAUUAUAAUUACAGUGGCACCUUGGGUUAAGUACUUAAUUCGUUCCGGAC